rnacentral:lncRNA from 1 species
GUAAAAUACGCCAUGGAGGCGGAGGGACGGUGGCUAACACUUUCGCCCGCCCCGUGCACGCGAUCGCUGGGGAGCUGGGGUCGCUGCGCUCCCGGCCUGCAGUUACCUGGUCCAGCGGGAUGCCCAGGAGCUCGCUGAGCGGGUGCAGAGAAUGAAAGAUGGAAGAAAUGAAGUAGUGGACAAGCAAACAUCAAUGUGGAGACAGAUUCUCAUUUUCCCCAUUUGGUCUUGGCUGCUUAAGAAAAGGUGAAAAGCAGGAGAAGAUGCUUCCCGGUACUGCAACGUAGGGCAAAGUGGAGCUGACAAAUGGAAAGAAUGUGACCUUGGGAAUGAGAUUCUUGCCUUUUCUGAGAGGUGGAGUCUCACUGUGUUGUCCAGGC